UACAGAGGGGGCAAGCGUUGUUCGGAAUUACUGGGCGUAAAGGGCGCGUAGGCGGCCUGCUAAGUCGAACGUGAAAUCCCCGGGCUCAACCCGGGAACUGCGUCCGAUACUGGCAGGCUUGAAUUCGGGAGAGGGAUGCGGAAUUCCAGGUGUAGCGGUGAAAUGCGUAGAUAUCUGGAGGAACACCGGUGGCGAAGGCGGCAUCCUGGACCGGUAUUGACACUGAGGAGCGAAAGCCAGGGGAGCAAACGGG
rnacentral:rRNA from 1 species